AUUGAACGCUGGCGGCAGGCCUAACACAUGCAAGUCGAACGGUAGCACAGAGAGCUUGCUCUCGGGUGACGAGAGGCGGACGGGUGAGUAAUGUCUGGGAAACUGCCCGAUGGAGGGGGAUAACUACUGGAAACGGUAGCUAAUACCGCAUAACGUCGCAAGACCAAAGUGGGGGACCUUCGGGCCUCACACCAUCGGAUGUGCCCAGAUGGGAUUAGCUAGUAGGUGGGGUAAUGGCUCACCUAGGCGACGAUCCCUAGCUGGUCUGAGAGGAUGACAAGCCGCACUGGAAAUGAGACACGGUCCGGACGCCUACGGGAGGCAGCAGUGGGGAAUAUUGCACAAUGGGCGCAAGCCUGAUGCAGCCAUGCCGCGUGUAUGAAGAAGGCCUUCGGGUUGUAAAGUACUUUCAGCGGGGAGGAAGGCGGUGGAGUUAAUAACUUCACCGAUUGACGUUACCCGCAGAAGAAGCACCGGCUAACUCCGUGCCAGCAGCCGCAGUAA
rnacentral:rRNA from 1 species